AUUGAACGCUGGCGGCAGGCUUAACACAUGCAAGUCGAGCGGAGUGAUGGUGCUUGCACUAUCACUUAGCGGCGGACGGGUGAGUAAUGCUUAGGAAUCUGCCUAUUAGUGGGGGACAACAUCUCGAAAGGGAUGCUAAUACCGCAUACGUCCUACGGGAGAAAGCAGGGGAUCACUUGUGACCUUGCGCUAAUAGAUGAGCCUAAGUCGGAUUAGCUAGUUGGUGGGGUAAAGGCCUACCAAGGCGACGAUCUGUAGCGGGUCUGAGAGGAUGAUCCGCCACACUGGGACUGAGACACGGCCCAGACUCCUACGGGAGGUAGCAGUGGGGAAUAUUGGACAAUGGGGGGAACCCUGAUCCAGCCAUGCCGCGUGUGUGGAGAAGGCCUUAUGGUUGUAAAGCACUUUAAGCGAGGAGGAGGCUCUUUUGGUUAAUACCCAAGAUGAGUGGACGUUACUCGCAGAAUAAGCACCGGCUAACUCUGUGCCAGCAGCCGCGGUAAGAC
rnacentral:rRNA from 1 species